UACGUAGGGACCAAGCGUUGUUCGGAUUUACUGGGCGUAAAGGGCGCGUAGGCGGCCAUUCACGUCAGCUGUGAAAUCUCCGGGCUUAACUCGGAACGGUCAGCUGAUACUGCUUUGCUAGAGUGCAGAAGGGGCAAUCGGAAUUCUUGGUGUAGCGGUGAAAUGCGUAGAUAUCAAGAGGAACACCUGAGGUGAAGACGGGUUGCUGGGCUGACACUGACGCUGAGUGCGCGAAAGCUAGGGUAGCAAACGGG
rnacentral:rRNA from 1 species